AUGCAGGAGGGCACCCGGAGCACCGUUCCUCUCACAGAGCCAGCCCCUCGCCGCCCACCCACAGUAGCCCGGCAGCUCCUGGCAGAUCCGCCCGAGCCUGGCCAUCCUGGGGAGGGGGACGGGGCCUCCGGCAGAGAGCGGGGAAGAAAGGCCCGGGCCGAGGGUGCUAUGGACGAGCAGCCAGCACGGCCGGGCGCUGCCCAGCCCCGUGGGCACCUCGAGCAGCCCCGGCUCGGAGACAGCGCUGAGGCCGCGGGGCCGUCCCAGCCGUCACACCCGCCCCAAUGGAACCGAAGAGAAGUGAAAGAGGCACUAGAACCGGCUGCCGACAUCCGCCCGACUGAGGGUCCCGGCCGAGGGCCCCGGGGCUCGCCGCUGCCCGUCCCUGCCCGUGGGGACCCCCGGGCCAGCGCAGGGCGCGGCUGGGCUGCCGGGCCCGCGCCAUCGGUGGAAAGCGAAAGCGCGUGGGUAGAAGACCUGGAGAGGAUACCGGGCAGUCCAGAUAGCUCCUCCGCCCUGGCGGGGUCCCGGGAGACCGGACCGAGGGACCCGACCGGGCAUCGCUGCCGGGUCCCGUCAACGCCACCCGCGCACAGCCCCGGGGCUCCCCGGAGGGGGACGGCUGCGCCGAGGGGACGGGCCGGAGCGGCCGGACCGUGCUCCUUCCCGGAAAGCCCGGCGGCACACAGACACGGGGAUGGAGGGAUCCCCUCAGCCUCUGCCCCUGUCCCGCUCCCAAUCCAUGGCCCGAUCCCGGCCCCACUCACGCCCAGCAGCGCCGCGCAGAGCAGUCCCAAAAGCCCCAGCCGGUUCAUUUCUCUGCGCCCCGGCCGCCGCCGCCGCCCUCCUAAGAACGCCUCGGUCCGUUCCCGCCCAGGAAGGGGCGUCGGGCCGCCCGCCCCGGGGCUUCCCCGCCGGCCCCGGCUGGGGACAGCUCCCCGCCGGCCCCCCCGAGCCCCGCGCUGCCCGCCCGGCCUGCGGGCAGGCGCUGCCCCAGCCGGGACCCCAGAGAGCAGGGAGAGGGGUUGGCCGCGGUCCGCGGGGAGGGGAGCGCCCGUGCAGACCCCAGCAGGAGCUCCAGGUUUCACUUCUUCUUUCCGACAGCAGCUAAGAGAGGUGUUUUUUUUUUUUUUUUUAUUUAGCCUUUAA
rnacentral:lncRNA from 13 species